CCCAGUGUGGCUAUUCUGGAUUUUUCUGCUGCGGUGGAGCUGAAGAAGCUCACGGAUGAGACAGAGCCUUUUCCAGAGAGAAUGCAGGAGAUGUUUUGGCCACGUAAGAAGCCUUAAGGUCUUCAGAGGAAGAUGCUAAGGGAAGUGGUGAAAUGACAACUCCUGUCUCUUCUCCUUAAUCCUGUCAGCCUUGGGAUUUCAACAUGGACUGCUGAGAUGGGAGCAUCAUCUUGAUUUGGAGCUCCAGUCCAGGAUCAGCUUCAGCCCGUGCCUCCAAUCCUGCAAGAUGCUGCAGCCAGCCUGGCCUUGAAACACACCUUCCCCAGGCCAGCCACUGGGAAUGGGGGCUGGAAGGUGCCUUCAGCCAGGCCUGGAUGCUGAGAGAGGUUUCAGUCUGCCAGGAGGAACAGUGAGGUAUGACAGGGCUGGCUUUGUGCAGCUCAUUACGCUCCCGUCGCUGAUUUCUAAUCGGAGUCCUGGCGCUGAGACAGACCAGCUGUGCAAUGAAACAUUUGUGAAUAUCCAGGUACGAGGGUCCUUACACAUGGCAUUGACAUGAACCAGGCUCACAUGGAAACCGUCACAUCACCUGCAGGAAGGAGAACAAGAAGCUGAAAUGUGCUGGAGCAGAUCCUGGAAAGGGAAGGUCCUGCAGAAAGAAGAGAGGAUGGACCCAUCCUUCCUGGAAAGGGUGGAGCAGGGUGGCCUCUGGCUCUUCAGGACAUCAUGGAACACCACCCAUCACAUCCUGGGGAUGACUUCAGACUGGCUUGAGGAUGGAACACCACCAAGGAAUGACAUUUCACUUGGAUUUCUAAAGUUCUAGGCAGAGCUUCUGCUCUGGGUCUGGUUAGUAACUGAGUUCAUAAUUUUGGCUUUCACUGGUGCUUUGAAAUGGAACCACUCAUGAGGCAAUACAGGAGUUUUUCCCACCUCCUUCUCCUUUCCUGCAUGUCUUGUGCUCCUCCAGGUUUUAUUGCACUGAUCAGGAAACAUGGAGUUGAAAUAGCCACAGCUUUACUUUGAAGACUGCUGCAUUAAAAAGAGCUGCUUAACUCCCUUUCUGUCAAGCUCAUGAUAUUAAAAUCAGUAAUUACCCCACUUUUCCAACUGGUUUUAGUGGUGUGAGCUGUGCAGAAAGGACUCACAUACUGUGACUGCAAUGCACUUGGCACCUGAGCAGAGAAGGGGCAGGUCAUGGAUAAACACUGGGCAGGACUUCUCAUUGCUGGGAUCUCUCCUGAUGGUAGGAAAAUCUCCAGGGUUGGUUUUGCUCAUGUUGUUUCUGUUCCAAGUGGAACUGAUUAUAAAAAGGAGUGUUAAGAUGGUCCUGAGGGGGACUGAGAAGACAGAGAGGGUUGAGAGCUAAGAAAGCUCUGAGGAGGCUUAGAAGGGACAGAAAAAUGUGAUAUCCAAUACAUAGGGGUUGAGAAGUUCAGCUACUGUGAUGAUGGGUAUUUUUUGGGAAGGAAAGAUGUGUCCAGUAAAAAAUCCUUGAGUUUCCACAUGCUUAAUGCCUAAACCUGCCUCAGCAGAGCAAAUUCUCACCAGCUAGGGUGAGAAGUGAUUUUACAAAGACA